GUGUGUGUGUGUGUGUGUGUGUGUGUGUGUGUGUGUGUGUGUGUGUGUGUGUGUGUGUGCGUUUGUCAAAGUGACAUAUGGGGACAUUUUUAUGAAAUUUCACCUUACAUAUGAGGACCUGUUGAAAUAUGGGGACAUUUUCCAUGUCCCCAUAUUUCCCGCAAUGCUAUCGUGUUCUAGACCCUCCCAGCAUGUUCCCAGACCAAAAAUCUCUGAAGUCUUCAUUUGUCAAAUUUUCAGAAAAAGUGUGUGAAAGUGUGUUUAAUUUUUUUGCUCACCUUCGAUUUUGCCCCUAGUGGCCAUCUUUGCUAUUAUGACACACACACACACACACUUGUCCUCAUAUGUCAUAUGUCCUCAUAUGUCAUGUGGGUCAGAAACUCACACACUCCAACAUUUUGAAAAACAUCUAAUCAUUACAGCAAUAAACAUACUUUUAAAUUCUAAAUCAAAUAACACAUGUUCAACUGAUCUGAUGAUCUGAACCUUUUUUAUGUUAGUUUUAUCUAUUCAUUUGGUUUAUCUGGAGAGGAUUUGGGCUAGACAAUUAGUAAUAAAGGGAUUAUGGUGAUGAUUUAAUUGGUUUGAUUCAGUAUUUUACUGUAUUGGGCUUUUUGCUAUUAUGUUGACUAAAAUACAAUGCCGCACAAUAAUUAAUUUAAAUGUGCCUGAAAUGUAGGUUUUUGCAUAAAUCCCCCCCCCCCUACAUACAGUAUUUAAUAUUUUCAAAUGGUUACAAUAGCACAUGAUUUAGGUAUUUUUAUCUUUGGGACAAAUUUUGGAUUCAAUUGGCGAUUGUUUUUGGAGGUAUUCACUUUACAUUGUGUUCAAGAUGGUUACUUCCGCCCACUCUGAAGAGUCUCGGCGUCUGAUUGGUCCAAUUUUCAGUUAGGCGCUGCCUGAUUGGCCAGUGGAUGAUGUCGGAUCCUAACAGAGGGCUAAAUCACUAGUUAACUAUUUUCAUCUUGGAAGUUAUACAGCUCACGUAUCACACUUAAUAUUGAAUAUAUAUAAAAAGGGUUUUCCAAAAGGACCAUUUAUAAUCGAAAUACAAAACUUCACACACGAUUUUGAGCACAACAGAGCGCUCAGUGAACAUCACUUCCGGGACCUGCAUCACCAGAGGGGGACAUCUAUCUUGGCCACAAACCAUCUUUGACAGUCUUCGGCAGCAUGGUUGAAUCAGGCGCAUCAACACAUGAUGUAGACAUCGUGUCCAAAAGAAGAGCGAGACGUAAUCCUGAGGCUGAAGCCACCGAGUUUAUGUGAUCUGGAUGUGACAAGUCUUGUUUUAAGGCCCAGUGGAUCAAUGAUUGGAAAGACACCAACUGUUGAUGUUCUAUCUCAACAUUCUCCAGAUUCAUGUGAGCGAUAAACCGACUUCAUCCCUCCAACAGACACCAACUGUUGGGGUUCUAUCUCAACAUUCUCCAGAUUCAGAUGUGAGCGAUAAACCGACUUCAUCCCUCCAACAGAAACCAACUGUUGAGGUUCCAUCUCAACAUUCUCCAGAUUCAGAUGUGAGCCAUUAACUGACUUCAUCCCUCCAACAGAAACCAACUGUUGAGGUUCUAUCUCAACAUUCUCUAGAUUCAGAUGACAGCCAUAAACCGACUUCAUCCCUCCAACAGAUUGAAAGCAGGACAAAUCGCUGGAAGUGGGUAUGUCUCAAGCUUCUUCCACUUGGUCCACUCCAAAGCGGGGUAAAUAAAUAAUCUACAUCAUUUACUAGAAUAUUAUAUUACGUUUUGCACCUUUUCACUGUAUUAUAGUCCUUAUUCCUUCAGUAAGAAAUUGUAUUUUGUCUCCUUUAUGACAACUGCAAAGGGGAAGAAGUGGAAGCAGUUGAAUGACACAUGUUGCAUUUUGUAACUGGCAACAAAGUACCAGGUAAAAAAGAUUGUGAAGCCUGCCUCCAUAAAGAACUAGUAGCUCUACAGGACAGAGAUUGGCUUGCCAUCAAGUACUACAUCCAUAACAGAAUUAUAUUAAAAAAAGGGAAAAAAAAUGUUUUCCCACAUCUUCUGUGGUAGUUUGAGUAUGUUACCAGCAAUUAAAAAAGCAAAAUAAACA